AUGAAUCCCAUCUGGGGGGAAAUCUGGGGGGAUCCUAUGUGGUGUAAAGCAAGUUCUCAGGAUAUUGUUUCCUGUUGUAAAGGUAAAUAUGUCCUUCAGCUAAUUCUGAAUGACAAGAAGAGGAAAGUUAGUUGGGGGCUGUUGGUGGUUUAUGGGUCGGCCCAUGAGGAAUAUAAAGAAGACUUUCUAGUAGAACUUGCUACUAUGUGCAGCAAUAUGAGCGUGCCUUAUAUAGUGGGUGGGGACUUUAAUAUCAUUAGGCAUGGUGGUGAGAAGAAUAAAAAGAUGUACAACUCUAGAUCUUCUGACCUCUUUAAUUUCAUUAUUAUUGCCGUGGGUUUACGGGAGAUUCAGACGAGUGGGGGGAAAUAUCUGGACAAACAACCAGGCACACCCCACUCUGGAGAAGUUAGACCGCGUACUUAU
rnacentral:rRNA from 1 species